UGGUUGGCAAUGUCGGGGGAACGGCCCGAGCCCGCCGGGACUCUACCCUUCCUGCCCCGCCGCCUGGGAAGACCUGCCCGUCCGGAGCAGCGGAGCCCACCGCGGCGGCGUCAGGGGCCCGCCUCCCGGGCCUCCGAGCUCUGAGGUACCGGGUCGCCGCGCCUCCCGAGCCUCUCGCCCUUCUCUUUAUUUCUCCUCCCGCUUUCGCUCCCCCUUGCCUCUUCAUCUCCCCCACCUCAGCAGGUAUGGAAACGGAGCCAGGCCCGGGAUUCUCCCGGAGACCGAGCUCCCGGGACGCCCGCUCCUCCUCCCCGCCUCCUUCUGGGUCUUCUGCCCCCACCCCAACUCUGCAAGGCCGCAGCGCCCGUCUUCCGCGGGGCUCUCAAGGCCUCGGAACAGACGUCCUCGUCCAAGGCUGUUGAUCACGUUCCUGCGAAAAUGACGAGAAACUCUGAAGUGUUUAUGUUGGAUUUUUCUGUCAAGACUAGAUUGUUGAGCAGCUGAUAAGCUACUGACAUCCAGCUGCUUUUAUAGAAUCACAGAAUUUAGAUUUAACGCCUCCAAAGUCCUCACUUCCUGGUUUGAGGAUUUCUUUCACGUGGACCUUGACUGGGGCUGCCCAGACGCUGCUUGCAUCCUCCAGGGACCAGGGGCCCAGUUUGCACCAAGACCAUCCAUUCCAGGUUUGGAAAACUCAUCCUGUUUUUCCCUCCUGAAAUGACAGAAAAUCUGCACACACACCCCUUCACUUCUCAGAUUAAAUGUCUCUAAUUUCUGUGACUAUUCCUUGCUUGACAGUUUUGGGGUUUUGUUUUCUUGUUUUUAAUAGUUAUUUAUUUGAGAGACAGCACAAGAGGGAGGAGGGUCAGAGGAAAAGCAGACCCCCCUGCUGAGCAGGGAGCCUGAUGCGGGACUUGAUCCCAGGACUCUGGGAUCAUGACCGGAGCUGAAGGCAGCCGCUUAGCUGAGCCACCCAGGCGCCCCAGCUUGAGUUUUUUCAGAGCCUCUCGUGAUGCUUGUCACCCUCCCCUGGGGAGUCUGUCCUUCGAAAACUCUGCCUCCAGCCACCAACAUGAAGUUCCAAGGCAGCCUGGCGGAUGUGGUAUAUCGUGGGACUACUACUUCGCUGACCCAAGACACUUGACCUCCAGUAACACUGCCCAGGAUGACACUGGGUAUAUUUUUAGCAGCUACUUCUCUGUACUAAAGCUUUUGGUCUUUAAAAAUCACAGUCAGGCUUAAUUAGGGAACAAUAAUGCCUGUCUGAAUGCUGCCUUUUCAAAUUCAGAAUCCAUUUUGGGGAGUGGAAAGGGAGCCUAACAUUGGGGGCGGGGGUGUAUGUAUGUUUACUGUCUAUCAGACAUAAUGCUGGGUACUUUAUUACUGUUAUUGUUAAUGUCAUGGCAGUUUCAGUUGGUUGAAGCCCUGCUGUGCACUAGACAUACACAGCCCCAGGGUUAUUAAUCAUUAUUUUACACAUGAAAAAAGGCUGAGAAAUUGGACAACUUGCCCAAGGUCCCACGCCAUUAAGAUAUGGAGUCCCAGUUUAAAUUCGUAUGUCUUGGCCCGAAGCCUGUGCUUACCACUCUGUUGUACUGGCUCAGGAAAAUACAGCCCUCUCAAGUCAAGUGCAAAGUGAGACUCCCUGGGGCCAGCUGGUGGGGGUUGGGGGGUGGCAAUUGGAACCUCCAUUACAAUGCCAGAGGAAACAGUAACAGAGGUGUCUGAACCCUCCAGAUUCAAGAUCAUGAAGGACAGGGAGGACUACCCUGAGUUCUUUGUCCUCUUGAAUCUCCAAAGAAACCUUGGGUGCUACAUUGGUCCAAUCUUAACCUUUUCAUUAUACUGUUAUAUAUGAUUUAAAAUUGUAUCAUUAGCUACUUUAAAUAUUUUGUGAUAUUAUUUCACUGAUAAUUCCACUAAAUAUAGCAACCAUCUUUUUUUCCUUUGGUUCCAUUCAUCUGUGUGUGCAUUUGUACUUUUAUUGCGAAGUCCCAGGAAAUAGCAAACAUGCCUGAGAAAUGUCGCAUCCAGGUGAGAGGUUAGGAUACUCAUCCGCCAACUCAAUGGCUGAGAGUUGCUCCUCAAUGUUAACUCCCUGGCAUUUGGGCCCCCUUUGCAGCAAAUACAUCCCUACGGUUGAGAAAGCCUUUAUGUAGAAAGUUGCAGAUGCUUUCAGUAGGAAUCCACUUGCAGGAAUGACAAGUGCAAGGGUCUAUGAUCAAGGGAUGACAGUAUCUGCUACAGAGGUUGACAUUUAAGCAUACUUGGAGGAAGUCAGAGUGAGCCAUGUGGACAUCUGGGAGAAGAUUCCAAGCAGAAGAAACAGCAGGUACAAAGGUCCUGAGGAAGGAGCUGCCUGGCAUGUCUGAGGAACAGGGAGGAAGACCACAUGGCUGGAGCAGAGUGAGCAAGGGGGCAGAAGAGAGAACAGAGUAAAGUCACAGGAGGCAAGAUCACGUAGGGCCUUCGAGCUGUUUUAAGGAACUGGGUUUCACUCUGAGAGAAACAGGAACCAUCUGAAGUCUGCAAAGACGUAUGAUGUGGUCUAACGUAGAUUUCAAAAGGAUCAACCAGGCAGCUGUUCUGGAAAUGGACUACAGAAAAUGAGGGGAAGAAAAGAGAACACGGGAAGUUGCUGAGAUACCCAGGCAAGACAGAACAGUGGCUUAGAUCAGAGUUGGGGCAAUAGAAGCGGGGAGGAGGUCAGAUUUUUAAUGCAGUAUAAAGGUAAAGUCCACUGAAUUUCUUGACAGAUUUGACAUGGGGUGUGAGAGGAAAAGAGGAGUUUAGUAUAAAACUAAGGAUUUAGCCUGAGCAAUUGGGCUGAGAUAAGGGAGAUUGUGGUGGGGCAUAUUUGGACGACAAUUAGGCAUUUAGUUUUAAACACGCUGAUUUGUAGAUGCCUUCUUCUUCUUUUUUAUUUGAGACCGAGAAAAUGAGAGAGAACACAAGCAAGGAGGAGGGUCAGAGGGAGAGGGAGAAGCAGACUCCCUGCUGUGCAGGGAGCCAUGGGGCUCGAUCCCAAGACCCUGAGAACAUGACCAGAGCCAAAGGCAAACACUUAACCGACUGAGCCACCCAGGCACCCCUGAUUUGUAGAUGUCUUUAUAGACAUUCAAUCAGAGAUGCCAGGUGAGCUGUGACUGUUACAUACAGGUUUGGGUACAGGAGAGCAGCCUAGGCUAGCUGUAAGCAAUUGACAAUUGGCAUAUGAACAGACACUUAAAGCCAGGACACUGGAUAAGCACACAUGACAGAUGUCCCUGGGAUCACCUCUGGAUCUGUGAUUACAUGUAUCCUGGCGCUUCUCAUUCUGUCCACCAUGUCUCUCAGCCACACUUUGUUUUCUGUCUUGCUAUCCCUCUAUGCUCUAUUCCAAGUAUCUUCUUCAGAUCCAACAUCCAGGUCAUUAAUUCUCUCUUUUGCUGUUUCUAGUCUGUCAUUUUAACUUUUAGAACAUUUUUUCACCCUUAGACGUUCUGCUUUUUAAAAAAUCUGUGAUCAGGGCGCCUGGGUGGCUCAGUCAUUAAGCGGCUGCCUUCGGCUCAGGUCAUGAGACCAGGGUCCUGGGAUCAAGCCCAGAUCAGACUCUCCAAGCCUGCUUCUCCCUCUCCCUCUGCCACCCCCCGUGCUUGUGCUCUCUCUCUGUCAAAUAAAACCUUUAACAAAUAAUAAAAAAUAAAAACUUCUACUUGAGCCAGCAUUUCUGUUUGUAGCAAGAGUAUUGUCAGGUUAUCUUAUCUGUCACAUGAUGAAAUUGGAAGGCCCCUCAGGGGUGAUUUUAGGGGUCAGAUUAGCUCCUCAGGAACUAUUUUCUAGAACAACAAGCCCAUUUGAGUGGACAUGAUGCCCCCUAGCUCCCACUCAUGUUGGAAGCAUCUGCUCCUGUGAGGAGUUCGAGUGAAGGGUGAUCUACCAAGCGCCAUCCUGGCUUAUUCCUGUGGCUGGGCCCAUGCUCAUGACGACCUGUUUCACGUUGUGCCAAAGAGGCCUACAAGGUAAUGAAUGAGCUAAAGACGAAUGUGCCCAACUGCCAUGACAAAGCCCUGAGACUGGCUGUCUAGGAAUCCUAUGGAGUGAUGUCCAGCACAGCGGUGCCAUCAGGGAAUGAGGGGAAGGGGGACUCGUUAUGCCAAAAACAGUUGCUUCCGGUGGCCCCAACAAGAUGAUGUAACCUCUUUGUCGUGUCCUAUUUCCCAAGAUGUUCCAGAGACCUGGGAACCCCCAACAAGUCCUGGUUGGACAGGGACAGCCAAGGAAGGAAAGAACCAGAACUCUCUGCCUAAGGCCUCCACUAGCUGGGAGGGUAGGCAGAGCCUGGGCCAAUUUGUCCAUUUGGCCGCAAUUGAAGGAAACAUGAGGACAGACCAACAGGGCUGAGUGCACACCAUUAGUUCUGGGCUGUGACAGUUCCCAUGUGUGUCAUCCAGGAGGAUGAAGUUGGGGCACUGCUCUGUGAAGCCUUGGCAUAGUAGAGGUCUCUGAAAGCUCUUUUAGGAUCAUUGUGUAUCAGUCAGUGAAAGAGAAAGGGGCUGACCUCAAGGAUACCUUUCUACUUUCUUCUACAAACCCCCAUCCAUCUGCUCACUGACAGGCUGAAGUCAGAGUCACAGGGUCUUUGGACCAGCGCCAUCCAGUUCAACCUUCUAUGCAGUGCAUGGUCUGUAACCUCCUUGCCAGAGAGCCUCCUACUGUGGGGCUCUUGCUGCUAACAUCAUGCUGAGGAAGAAGGGCCUCCUGCCUUCACUGGCUCAGGGAACCUACAGCCUGAAGGACCUGUGAGAACCAGGGCUCCUUACAGCCAGCUCACCCCCAGGAUGUCCAUCCAGGGAAGGAAAGGCGCUGGCCGGUGGGAGAAAGCCGUGCCAGUAGGAGGGCGGCUGAACUACUUUUUCACCUUCUUCCUGGAGACUCAGUUCUGACCCCACCUGUACACAGGGAAGACAUCCUCCUGGACAGGAAAUAAAAUCAAGUUUUUGAGUGAACAUCAAAAGUACAGACUAGAGAGUGAUUUUAUCCUGUCCCUGCAUACGACAGUGAACUGAAACCCCAAGCAUUCUGUGAGGAUGAGCAAGGGUGUCGGGUGAAGGAUGUUGCCGUCGGAAGGCAGGCUAUCGUGAGCAGGGCGUUUGGAGCAGCCUCGGAGCAGGGCGUUUGGAGCUCCGGGCAGGUGGGUCAGCAGCGCCACGAGAGCAGGUGGGAGUUUCCAGGAGUCUCAUCCUUCAAGGCACUGGCGACGAGUCCCUAUUUCCUGUGUGCCUGCUGGAGGCCCAUCAUGGUUUUCAAGUAAUUGCGCUGGAUACAGAGAAGAGGAGAAAAUGGGAAUUGAUUAGGAGGCAUGGACUUAAGACCCCGAAGCUAUGCCACUUACACCCACGCCCUCAUUCUUUCUGCAAGCAUCAUACUCUGGGGACAAGGAUGCCCUCUGACCAGCCCCAAUUCUGUGAGAAAUAUGUUCCAUCCAUCCCCUUUCGUUCUUUUGUCCUAAAGAAAGUGUGUAAAACUGUUUUAAAAUGGUGUGGCAGGGGGCACCUGGGUGGCUCAGUUGGUUAGGCCUCUGCCUUUGGCUCAGGUCAUAAUCCCAGGGUCGUGGGAUCGAGUCCCAUGUAGGGGUCUCUGCUCAAUAGGAAGUCUGUUUCUCCCUCUCCCUGUGCCUGCCACUCCCCCUGCUUGUGCUCUCUCUCCCUCUUUCUUUCUCUCUCUGUCAAAGAAAUAAAAUCUUUUUAAAAAUA